UUGACAGCUCUGGGGCCUGAAGCCCUCAAUCGAUCCACAGAAUAGGUACGGCACUGGCUUUUGAAUCAAAAGUUCCCCACAAUCCUGUCAUUGUGCUUUAAGCCUGAAGCAGACGAAACAUUUUUAGGUACAGAAUAUUUCAAUCUCCAUUCCUAUUCAGUCCUUGGCCUCU
rnacentral:sRNA from 1 species